UUUGACAGGCAGAGUGGACAGUGAGAGAGAGACAGAGAGAAAGGUCUUCCUUUGGCCGCUGGUUCACCCUCCAAUGGCCGCCGCGGCCGGCGCACCGCACUGAUCCGAUGGCAGGAGCCAGGAGCUUCUCCUGGUCUCCCAUGGGGUGCAGGGCCCAAGUACUUGGGCCAUCCUCCACUGCACUCCCUGGCCACAGCAGAGAGCUGGCCUGGAAGAGGGGCAACCGGGACAGAAUCCGGCACCCCGACCGGGACUAGAACCCGGUGUGCCGGCGCCACUAGGUGGAGGAUUAGCCUAUUGAGCCACAGCGCCGGCCACUGUUGAUAAAUUCUUUGAACUUUAGUAUUACUUUUGUAAAUCUAUUUUUGUUGUAUCAUUGUAUCUUUUUGUUAAAUUGACCUCUUUUACUUUCUGUAUUUUAAAAUGUUGCUCCACCGUCGUCUUGUUUACUUCCAGUGAGAAAUAUGAUGUCAUCCUUAUCUUUAUUCCUAUUUAGUUUCUAAGCCUCUUUUUGUCUGGCUUCUUUUAGGAUUUUCUCUUCAUCCCUAGGUUUGAGUUACUUGAUGACAACACAGUUUAAUGAAUUUUUUUUUCAUGUUUCUUGCACUUGGGGUUAGUUGAGCUUUUUUUUUUUUUUUUUCAAUGAUUUAUUUACUUAUUUAUUUGAAAGAGUUAAAGGAAGAGACAGAGAUUUCCAUCCACUGGUUGACUCCCCAAAUGGCCGCAACAGCCAGGGUUAGGUCUUGUAAAAGCCAGGAGUUGGGGGCUUCUUCUGGGUCUCCUACAUGGGUGCAGGGGCCCAAGCUCUUGGGCCAUCCUCUGCUGCUUUCCCAGGCACCUCAGCAGGAAGCUGUAUGGGAAACAGAGUAGCUGAGACUCCACAUAGAAUGCAUGUGUCCUAAGCAGUGGGGUAAUCCGUAGCACACAAUGCCUGCCGCAGGUUUUUUGUUGUUAAGUAAUGUGGUGGCAGGGACUCAAGUAUUUGAGCUAUCACCUGCUGCCUUCCCGGGUAUGAAUCAGCAAUAAGCUGGGUGGGAAGAUGACCUGGUACUCAAACCCAGGGUCACCCAUAUGGGAUACAGGCAUCCCAAGUGACCACUUAACCACUGCACCAAAAGCCUGCCCCUGGAUCUUUUUAAAUAGUUGACCUAUCUCUAAGCGCAGCUGGCAAAGCACACUGUGCUGGACCCCAGAGGCUGACACAGUGUUCAUUGAAUUAAAGACAACAACCAACUAGGUUAAAAAAAAACAACCAAUGCCGGCGCCGCAGCUCACUAGGCUAAUCCUCCGCCUGUGGCGCCAGCACACCAAGUUCUAGUCCCGGUCGGGGCGCUGGAUUCUGUCCCGGUUGCCCCUCUUCCAGGCCAGCUCUCUGCUGUGGCCCGGGAAGGCAGUGGAGGAUGGCCCAAGUCCUUGGGCUCUGCACCCCAUGGGAGACCAGGAGAAGUACCUGACUCCUGCCUUCGGAUCAGCGCAGUGUGCCGGCCGCAGCGCACCAGCCGCAGCGGCCAUUGGAGGGUGAACCAACGGCAAAAGGAAGACCUUUCCAGCUUGUGAUCUUUCACAGACUGUGGACCAAGUCCAAGAUGAAGUCAGUGACCUCCUUAUCAGUUCUGGAAGAUGUUGUAGUCUCGAGCACUGUGAAUCCAAAUGCAAAGAAGUUUGUCCCUGGGGCGAAGUACCACGACAUUUGAGUAGACCGGGGCUCUCCUUUGUGAAUGUAGCAGUUUCCACAUGGAAGCAGUAUCACAGAAGACUUCAUUGUAAAAGCGUGUUCUUCGAUUGUGUUUGCAGCCGCACCGCACCGCCUUCACUCUCUAACGCCAGUUCCACCUCUCACUCGCCGAGCUCCAGCUCCAAAGGACGAGGGAUCCGGCUUUCUGCUAUGGCCUGGGAAAGUAGUAGAAGAUGGCUCAAGGUCUUGGGCCCCUGCACCCACAUGGGAGACCCUGAGGAAGCUCCUGGCUCCUGACUUCGGAUCUGCGCAGCUCCAGCUGUUUUGGCCAAUUGGCAAGUGAACCUCUGGAUGGAAGACCUCUCUCUCUCUCUCUCUCUCUCUCUCUCUGCCUCUCCUUCUCUCUGUGUAACUCUGACUUUCAAAUAAAAUAAAAUCUUUUGCCGGCGCCGCAGCUCACUAGGCUAAUCCUCCACCUUGCGGUGCCGGCACACCGGGUUCUAGUCCCGGUCGGGGUGCCGGAUUCUGUCCCGGUUGCCCCUCUUCCAGGCCAGCUCUCUGCUGUGGCCAGGGAGUGCAGUGGAGGAUCGCCCAAGUGCUUGGGCCCUGCACCCCAUGGGAGACCAGGAGAAGCACCUGGCUCCUGCCAUCGGAUCAGCGCGGUGCGCCGUCCACAGCGCGUCGGCCGCGGCGGCCAUUGGAGGGUGAACCAACGGCAAAAGGAAGACCUUUCUCUCUCUCUCACUAUCCACUCUGCCUGUCAAAAAUAAAUAAAUAAAUAAAUAAAUAAAUAAAUAAAUCAAAUCUUUUAUAAAAAAAAGAAAAACAGAGGACAGAAAUCAGGUAUUGGCAGUUUUUCCAUUUUCAUUUGUGUGUGAAUUUUUUAAUUUAAAAUUAAUAUUUAAUAGUCUACUAAAUUUAUAUUAAUUAUUAAUAUUAAAAUAAAUUUAUAUUAAAUUUAAUAUUAAUGGAACAUAAAGCAUUAGUGCAAGUCAAAAUGUUUCAAUGAACAAGUUUCAGCAGUUCAACUUUAUAAUAAUUAUAAAUAAACCUGUCAAAUUUUUCUGAGAAUUUUUUCUGAAUUUUUGUAAAACAAAUAAAUUUCUUACCGGUGGCAGAAAAAAAAAAGGUUGCUCUUGCCAGUGCUGCACACUUACUUAUUGCCAAAGAUUUUGUUAAUCUUGUAUGCUUCAAAAAGUUCUGAGACUAUUAUUAAGUAGACACUUCUUUAACAUUUCCUGAAAGUAGGAUCAGCCUCAUGGCUUGAGGUGAAGACAGUGAGGAAAGAAGCACCAGUUAACUUGUGACAAAGCACCAAAUUAAAUGGCUUCUAAAUUUUUGCCAACAUUGUGACACAACAGGUGAAGCUGCCAUCUGCAGUGCUGGCAUCACUUAUGGGUGCCAUUUUGAGUCCCGGCAGCUCCACUUCUGAUCCAGUUCCCUGCUAAUGGCGUGGAAAAGCAGCAAAGGAUGGCCCAAGAACUUGGGCCCCUACUACCCACGUGGGAGACCCUGAUGAAGCGCCUGGCUCCUGGCUUUGGCCUGGCCCUGCACUGGCUGUUGCAGCCAUCCGGGGAGUGAACCAGUGGAUAGAAGACCUCCCUCUCUCUCUUUCUCUGGCUCUCCAUCUCUCCCUCUAAUUCUGAAGUUCAGUAUUAAUAAACGAGUUUUUAAAAAAUAAAAUAACUUCUGAAUCUUA